UCUUCUGCCUGUAUGAGAAAUAUGAAAUGAUAUGGGUAAUAACAGUGCAGCCCUGCUCACAUUUCCUCAAACAAAAAUAACACAAAAUAGAAAAAACUACAGAUAAAAAUGCUAACGGCUUUUUAUAUAUCACAGCAUAGUAUAAACUAAAUAGUUAAAAUAGUGUUGUAUAGAUAAAAUGAGUAGCAGCCCUUUCAAUAUAAUUUUAUGGCCAUUUCAAAAAUAAAUUACCAAAAACAGGCUGCUACAUUUAGCAGCAAAAAUGCAGUUAUUGCCUUUUAAACUUCUGACUGGAGUGUAUUUGACUGACCACCACCACCACUGGCUGGAAUAUCUGGGUUUGUAGAAACAGAAGUUGGUCUGUGUGUUCAUGAAAUGGAGUGCUCUGCUGUGCUGUUACCAGCAUAACGUCCCACAGAACAAUAUAAUGUAGUUCAACACAACAGUAUAAGCAGUGGCCUCAAAAAUGAUUUCAGUGCAGGCAACAUCAUGAUGACAACCAUUUUGUCCCUCUCGUUUGUUUAUAUUGUAUUGUAGGAGGCACCACGUCAGACUCCAUGAUCCAAAGGAUGCUGUCAGCUACUCUAACUAACUUCCUGGCCUGUCACUUUAACUGGGCUGGCAAGGGAAUCAAGCAGCCAUUCAGGCAAACCAUUAUACAAGACUGUGUUUGAUCAGAGAGCCACAGAUAAGUCUAUAUGGGUCUGAUCUCACUUUUGCCAGCAGAUGGCAGCAGUGCACUUUUGGCUUUGCAGGCUCAGAGUGGCACAUUGGUCAGCCUACUUCAACCUUUAACCUUCAGUUGAUAAGCGUGGACCUUGCACAGACAGACGUUAAUGUAAGGUAUGUUGCGUAACCAGCGGCACUCACACAACAUCAGGACAGAGAUAUGACAGGAAACAUGUAUCCAUUUCAU